ACUCCUACGGGAGGCAGCAGUGAGGAAUAUUGGUCAAUGGUCGCAAGACUGAACCAGCCAUGCCGCGUGCAGGAAGACGGUCCUAUGGAUUGUAAACUGCUUUUUAUACAGGAAGAAACCCUCCCACGUGUGGGAGCUUGACGGUACUGUAGGAAUAAGGAUCGGCUAACUCCGUGCCAGCAGCCGCGGUAAUACGGAGGAUCCAAGCGUUAUCCGGAAUCAGUUGGGUUUAAAGGGUCCGUAGGCGGCCUUAUAAGUCAGUGGUGAAAGCCCAUCGCUCAACGAUGGAACUGCCAUUGAUACUGUAAGGCUUGAAUUAUUGUGAAGUAACUAGAAUAUGUAGUGUAGCGGUGAAAUGCUUAGAUAUUACAUGGAAUACCAAUUGCGAAGGCAGGUUACUAACAAUGGAUUGACGCUGAUGGACGAAAGCGUGGGAGCGAACAGGAUUAGAUACCCCGU
rnacentral:rRNA from 1 species